rnacentral:rRNA from 1 species
AGUCGAGCGGAUGAGAGGAGCUUGCUCCUGGAUUCAGCGGCGGACGGGUGAGUAAUGCCUAGGAAUCUGCCUGGUAGUGGGGGACAACGUUUCGAAAGGAACGCUAAUACCGCAUACGUCCUACGGGAGAAAGCAGGGGACCUUCGGGCCUUGCGCUAUCAGAUGAGCCUAGGUCGGAUUAGCUAGUUGGUGAGGUAAUGGCUCACCAAGGCGACGAUCCGUAACUGGUCUGAGAGGAUGAUCAGUCACACUGGAACUGAGACACGGUCCAGACUCCUACGGGAGGCAGCAGUGGGGAAUAUUGGACAAUGGGCGAAAGCCUGAUCCAGCCAUGCCGCGUGUGUGAAGAAGGUCUUCGGAUUGUAAAGCACUUUAAGUUGGGAGGAAGGGUUGUAGAUUAAUACUCUGCAAUUUUGACGUUACCGACAGAAUAAGCACCGGCU